rnacentral:rRNA from 1 species
AUGACGGAAAAGAAGAAAAAGGAUGGCCUCUAUACAAAGCUAUCGCCGAAGGAGGGGUUUGCGUCUGAUUAGCUGGUUGGAGGGUAACGGCCCAACAAGGCGAUGAUCAGUAGCCGGUCUGAGAGGAUGAACGGCCACAUUGGGACUGAGACACGGCCCAGACUCCUACGGGAGGCAGCAGUGGGGAAUCUUCCGCAAUGGACGAAAGUCUGACGGAGCAACGCCGCGUGAGUGAAGAAGGUCUUCGGAUUGUAAAACUCUGUUAUACGGGACGAAAAAGACGGAUGCCAACAGUAUCCGUCCGUGACGGUACCGUAAGAGAAAGCCACGGCUAACUACGUGCCAGCAGCCGCGGUAAAU